UACGUAGGGUGCGAGCGUUUAAUCGGAAUUCUGGGCGUAAAGCGUGCGCAGGCGGUUCGUUGUGUCGGUGGUGAAAGCCCCCGGCUCAACUGGGGAGGGUCAUUCGAUACUGAUCGACUCGAAGGCAGGAGAGGGUAGUGGAAUUCCCGGUGUAGUGGUGAAAUGCGUAGAUAUCGGGAGGAACACCAGUGGCGAAGGCGACUACCUGGCCUGUUCUUGACGCUGAGGCUGGCGAAAGCUAGGGGAGCAAACGGGG
rnacentral:rRNA from 1 species